AAUUCUCAACUGCCCCAAGCUCGUUGUGGGUGAGGUUGGAUCUUGGAGGAUGUUGCUGGUGCGUGCUUUGUGCACGCUUGUCGGCUCCUCUCGAAUGCAUGAGCUUUCCAGUCCUUGGCAAAGUAUCGUCGAUGUGAUAGUUAUCUGCGUCGCCCGAGAAAAGCCGUGUAAGGGGAAAUCUACGAUCGUAUCGGCCCUUUGGGGUUCCGUGUUUGACAA
rnacentral:misc_RNA from 1 species